rnacentral:rRNA from 1 species
UACGGGGGGGGCAAGCGUUGUUCGGAAUUACUGGGCGUAAAGGGCGCGUAGGCGGGUGGACAAGUCUCUCGUGAAAGCCCACGGCUCAACCGUGGAAUUGCGGGAGAUACUGUCUGUCUUGAGUCCGGGAGAGGAGGGUGGAAUUUCCAGUGUAGCGGUGAAAUGCGUAGAUAUUGGGUGGAGCACCGGUGGGGAAGGCGGCUCUCUGGUCCGGUACUGACGCUGAGGCGCGAAAGCUAGGGGAGCAAACGGG